GGAGGCGUGGCAGAGCGGUCGAAUGCAGCAACCUGCUAAGUUGCUGUCCGGGAAACUGGACCGAUGGUUCGAAUCCAUCCGCCUCCG
rnacentral:tRNA from 1 species